CGAAGACUAAAUUGGGACGCUUGUGCUCAAUUCUGGCUCCCUGCCUUAGUUCUGACUUUGGAUAGGUUAUGGCUUCUGAAACUUGGCUUUGUUCAUUUUCAGUACGAGAUUGUUACCACACUGUCCACCUCCAAAGCUUGUUCUGGGCUAGGACGAUGAAACUGUUGGCAUGAUGGCUGUGCUUCAGAACUGAUGCAGGAACAGAGACCUAUGGAGCUGAUUGACUCACCCAAAGCCCUGGAGCUAGUAAUUCAUGAAGGUGGUACUCAAAUCUUGCAUUCCGACUCUUGGACCAGGAAAUUUCUCUCCACACCCUACUGCUUCUGAAGAUUAAUUUGCAGUUAUAUGAAGACAUUUCUCUUCAGCCAUAUGACAUCAUGGGAAAAAUCUGGUCAGAGGAACCACGUUUGAGAAGAUCUUGCCCAAGUCCCUUGAAGAUGAUCAGAGCCUAAUUUUCCAAUCUGUAAAUUGGGGAUCAAAACCACCUUCCUCACAAGGUACUGUAAGAAUUAACUGGAGAGAUGGGAAAGUCGUAUGUAAACCCUAAUGGAUUAUAGAACUGUUCUCUUUCAUUCGAUAGAACACUGUAAUUUCAGAAAUUCUUUCUUUGGAUGCUUCCCCCUUCCCAAACACCUGGGGCUCAACCUUCUUACCCCUUGCUCCGUGGAGCAGUGAUGAUAAGUAGAAUCCUCACUCCCCUCCCAAUACAAUUGGCUGGCGUGGCCUGCCCUGAGGCUAAAGGCUUCUUCAGUAUUUUGACUUUUUCCAAGGGCUCUCAAAGAGGAUACACUUUAUGGUCAUUAGAAAGGAAUAUUUCACCUUAGAUAGCAGUUCAAACUUCCCACUUUGAACCCCUAAGUGAAUCUAUACAACUUAGAUUUAUUAACAAACCUUUUGUUAUUGUUGAGAAUUUUAAAAAGAAAUUCAUUUUUCUUAAGUCAUUAUUUGGAUUUGCUCAGUAUUUGUUUAUUGGACUUAUGUGGGAGUGGUAACCAGAGCAAUGUAAGAGGAAAAGUACUAGAAUAGAAUUCAUAAAGAUGAGGAUCUUCAGCCUGGCUCUUUCUCUUUCCAUCUGUGUAAUUUUGAGCAAAUGUCUUGACCUCUCUG
rnacentral:lncRNA from 1 species